rnacentral:rRNA from 1 species
GUGCCAGCAGCCGCGGUAAUACGGAGGGUGCAAGCGUUGUCCGGAAUCACUGGGCGUAAAGGGCGCGUAGGCGGCUCGGUAAGUAGGGGGUGAAAUCCUGCGGCUUAACCGCAGGGCUGCCUUCUAAACUGUCGAGCUUGAGCACGGUAGAGGCAGAUGGAAUUCCCGGUGUAGCGGUGGAAUGCGUAGAGAUCGGGAAGAACAUCAGUGGCGAAGGCGGUCUGCUGGGCCGUUGCUGACGCUGAGGCGCGACAGCGUGGGGAGCAAACAGGAUUAGAAACCCCCGUAGUCC